ensembl:lncRNA
AUCUCGCGCGAACAGCCCUGCUGCGGUACUGAGGUAAACAGAAGAAAACUGCGGAUCCGCUUCGGACUUGGGUUUAAAGCGAUGGACGCGUUGGACAUGUUAUUACAGCAAACAGACUAUCACAAUUUUGAGAGAGAGUGAACAUCUUGGUUCUCAGGGAGGUUACUACCAAAUCUGUCUCUAUGAAGCUGCGGCGCAGGACAGUCCUGAGAAGCCGACGGCUUCGACAGCGAGAACAUGUGAAGGACUCUGAGAGCAUCUCUGUGGUGUUGAGGGACGCUGACUCUAGUCAGUCAGACAGUGUGGAAGAAAUAAAAGAUCAGGUGUCUGUUCUUCGUGAUAUGGAGCGGCCGGUAAGGAAGAGUAGAGCUGGUUCAUCAUGUCGCGUGAGAAAAGAAGGCGAGAGGCCGCUUUCUGAUGUGGAAGCACAACCUGGGACGGUUCAGAAGAUCUCCCUGGCUCCAGGUGCAAUGGCUGAGGACACUCUAGAGAAACUCAGGUUUAGGGCUAAUACCUCUAAGACCAAGAUCGAGAUUGAGUCUCGAGCAGAGCUUGAGUCUAUUUUGGACGAAUCCAGUACUGAUUUCACAGUGGAAUCGGGUCCCAGCUCACCCUGUCGUCCUCUCAAUACAGUAAGAUGCAGAGAGUGCGAGAGACUUUUCGCAAAGAUGAGAAAACAUCCCACCCCGGAAAAGAAAAGCAGAGAUACAGAUCCAGCAUCUUUAUCUUGUGAUGUGUGGGUUCUGCUUAAGAAGUGGCACCCUCAGAGACACCGUCAUCGAGAGAAGGGGAACUCAUUGGUCUUUGGCCUCAGUGAACUUAUGCACUAGAGUAAUAAAAAUACAAAAUAUUUGUGGAUAAUUUUGGCUGUGUUCACUAAAAAAAAACUAAGGUGCAUUAGCUUAAAAAAAGAAAUAAUAAAACAAACCUUGACCGGG